GAAAUGCGAUAAGUAAUGUGAAUUGCAGAAUUCCGUGAAUCAUCGAAUCUUUGAACGCACAUUGCGCCCUCUGGCAUUCCGGGGGGCAUGCCUGUCCGAGCGUCAUUACGCACCCUCAAGCCCGGCUUGUGUGAUGGGCCCCGGCGUCUCGUUCGCGAGACGGGCCCGAAAGGCAGCGGCGGCGUCGACCCGAUGAGCCCGAGCGUAUGGGGACUUCUGUCACACGUUCGCGGUGCGGACCGACGUCACGUCCGGCUCUCGAGUUCUUCUCUCUCUCAGGUUGACCUCGGAUCAGGUAGGGAUACCCGCUGAACUUAAGC
rnacentral:misc_RNA from 1 species